AGUAGAGUUUCCAUGCGAGAAGAUACAAAGCCAAAGACUCAUACGGACUUCGACAUCACC
rnacentral:sRNA from 1 species